rnacentral:miRNA from 1 species
UAAUGUACUCAGGUGAAUAUGAUGCUUGUGAUGUUACUCUGAGUAUAUAUAUACUCAGAGUAACAUCACAAGCAUCAUAUUCACCUGAGUAC